UUGGACAAGUAAGGCUUGUUCCCAUGUCAGAACAGCCCAUACAGCAGGAGCCUACCGCCUGUUUCUGUAGCAUGAGACAGCCGGAUGUACAAGUACACAUCUAAACAGGAUGCUUGCUCUCUGGUGCUUACCUACAAAUCCCCCCUGUGAUCGUCUGAAUGUGGACGUUCAAUAUUGAAUGUGCCCUGAUCAGCAGUAAAGCAUCUGUGGCCACAGGGAAGAGCCAGACUACUAAAGCCUACCUCUCCAUUGUCUCUCACUCUGAACAAAACCAGCCAGGGCCUCUUCCCCCCAUGUGGAUGAGACCGGGCUGAAGAGAGCAGAGAGGGGCAGCGCCUGGCUGGAUGUAAGUUAGAAGAUGAUGACUGAAGAGGAGACUAUUUCCUGUGAUGUCAUCAUGACAGCUGUCAAAGAAGUCUCACAUGAGAGGAUCAUGUCCAGACAAGACCAAGAGGAAAAGCUCACUAUUACAGACUGGUACAGUAUGUGUGUGACUCUCCAGCAUCAGGAGCUGAGGCUGUCUGAGGGCUCUUACAGGCCUCCAGGCCAAGCCCAGUCCUUCCUGGCCCAGCAGAGGCAGUCAACCCAGGCCAGGAGCAGGAGAGGUAUGGGGCUCUCUCCCAAGCUACAGCCCAGAUAGGAGGGAGAGAUGGAGGGAGAGGUCCCUCUGUUGGGGACGGUGGGAUUGACAGUGGAUGGACAAGGAACGUUGGAAGAGGAUGUUGAUGGGAUAUUAAAUGGGAUAUAAAAAAUAUUUUAUGUAACAUUGGCGCCACCUGCUGGUCAAAUGGUAUUGGUGUUCGUUUUUUGUCCAUCUCAGUUUGAAUUUAAAAGUCUAAGGAAUAGAUAGGACAGUAAAGGACCAUCACUAUUACAAUGUGUUGCCAAUGGAUUUUUGCGCUUCGAAUAAAAUAUCAACAUGACUU